CAGAAAAUAGUUUAUUAAAAAUAUUAAUUUUGGAGAUUAAAGAAGAAUAGAAAAUUAUUUUUUUCUGA
rnacentral:tRNA from 1 species